rnacentral:rRNA from 1 species
UACGUAGGGGGCGAGCGUUGUCCGGAAUUAUGCUAGGGCGUAAGGCGAGUAGGCGGCUAUACAAGUCAGAAUGUGAAAGUACCCAGGGCUCAACCCUGGUAACUGCAUUUGAAACUGUGUAGACUUGAGUACAGGAGAGGAAAGUGGAAUUCCCAGUGUAGCGGUGAAAUGCGUAGAGUAUUGGGGAGGAACACCAGUGGCGAAAGGCGACUUUCUGGACUGUAACUGAACGCGUGAGGCGGCGAAAAGCGUGGGGAGCAAACAGG